rnacentral:rRNA from 1 species
AACGAACGCUGGCGGCAUGCCUAACACAUGCAAGUCGAACGAGACCUUCGGGUCUAGUCGCGCACGGGUGCGUAACGCGUGGGAACAUGCCCAUAGGUUCGGCAUAACUCUCCGAAUGGGGUGCUAAUACCGGAUAAUGUCUUCCGACCAAAGAUGUAUCGCAUUUGGGUGGGCCCGCGUUGGAUUAGCUUGUUGGUAGGGUAAUAGCCUACCAAGGCGGAGAUUCAUAGCUGGAACGAGAGGAUGCUCAGCCACCCUGGGAGUGGCACACGGCCCAGACUCUUACGGAUGGGCGCAGGGGGGAAUAUGGGACGCUGGGCGAGAGACUGAGGUAUCAGUGCCGCGUGAGUGAUGAAGGCGGUAGGAUUGUAAAGCUCUUUUACCCGGGAUGAUAAUGCGAGUACCGGGAGAAUAAGCACCGGCAAACUCCGU